rnacentral:misc_RNA from 1 species
GAUGAAGAACGCAGCGAAAUGCGAUAAGUAAUGCGAAUUGCAGAAUUCCGUGAGUCAUCGAAUCUUUGAACGCACAUUGCGCCCUCUGGUAUUCCGGAGGGCAUGCCUGUCUGAGCGUCAUUGUCAACCCUCAAGCUCAGCUUGCUGUUGGGUCCCCGUCUUUGCUUUAACGGCGGACCCGAAAGGUAAUGGCAGAGUCCGUGAGACCCUAGACGCAGCGAGCUUCUAGCACGCGUCUGGACGUUUUUCGGGCUCGGUCUUAACUAGAUGAUAACUUCCGAUUGACCUCAGAUCAGGUAGGGAUACCCGCUGAACUUAAGCAUAUCAAUAAGCGGAGGA